GUGCGUAGGCGGGUCUUUAAGUCAGGGGUGAAAUCCUGGAGCUCAACUCCAGAACUGCCUUUGAUACUGAGGAUCUUGAGUACGGGAGAGGUGAGUGGAACUGCGAGUGUAGAGGUGAAAUUCGUAGAUAUUCGCAAGAACACCAGUGGCGAAGGCGGCUCACUGGCCCGUAACUGACGCUGAGGCACGAAAGCGUGGGAGCAAACA
rnacentral:rRNA from 1 species